CCUCCCCAUGAGGAUUCCAAAACAAUUUCUGAAAAGUCGAAGCAGUGGGACUCACCGAUAAAGGAAACCCUGCUACAUCCUUCAUUGAGGACUGAGGUGAGCUUGUGAUUAAGAUGAAGUGCGCCCCAGAGAGAGCGCCCCCUGCAGGUCGCACAGCUAAGUUAGCGGUCAAACUGAAUCUAGAGACCAGCUCCCGCGUCAAGCAAACCCGAGCAUCUUCAACACAAGUGUCACCUGCCUCCUUCUACCAUCUAAUGGGGUCACUCGAGUAGUCACGUCAGCGUUUGGAACGGGCUGCCGCGCACUUCCAGUCUGUUCUGUUCUGUUUGAUUUUUACUAUGUCUGAAGGUAUCUGCAGCUAUUUUGAAGACAACAAGAGACAUUAUGAUUUCAUCUCGGAGGCUGCGUUUUGUAGACAGAAGCUCUUGCCAGCCAUCAGAGUGAUUGAUGGGGUUCAGAAAAUGGCUGUGCUGGACACUGUUGCCUCUGCACCCCCCUGAAGGAGCAGCGCCCCCUUCCGGAUAGAAAUCUUUACAGGGAUCGAACUCACGACUGCCUGCUUCCAAGACAGGCGCUUAUGCCGCUGAGCUAAAUCCCCAGCCCCGCAACCUGUUUUCUAGUCAACAAGCUUACAGCCUACAUGUUUUCUUCCUUUGGCCUGAGGAAUUUCAAUGGUUUUGAAAGGGUGACCUUGCGGGCGAGUCACUUCCCGACCCGUUGGACAGCAUCUGAGGAGGCGGAUUGUCCUUUGGUUUGUAACCAGAUUUUCUGGGCUGCCCUGUGAUGUGAGUACUGUGGAGAUUGCUGGAGAAUAAAAAGUUGACUCGCCACAUCUCUGCUUCAUGGGACUUACAGCGAGGGGGUGGGGAUCUGGACUCCUCUGACACAGGUAGGAAGAAGAACCUUCUUUCUGGCCCACUCCACCUCUGCAAACCUCCUCCUGCUGUGGACUCCCAGGGUGCCCGGUGCUCAUGCAUACUCACCCUGUCACUGGCCCAUGAUCGUGACAUGGGGCUUCCUGGUGUGACCUGGCAGCUCCUAGCACCCUAAGCCACCUCGUACCUCCAGGCCCUUAUGGACUGACUCAGUCCCCUUGGUCCAUGUCCCACCUUGUCCCAUUCCAGACCCAAGGACAGGGCCCCUCUUCCAGACCUCAUCCCUAAGGCCUUUACCCUCCCCGCUUCUGAAGGCCUAAGCCUGGCAGUGGGAUUUCCCUGCCUGGCAUUGGACUUGACCGUUUCCCUGUUGAGUUCCACAGCAAGGCCAUAAAUACUAUGGGAGCCUGUCAAGUUCAUCUUUAUGUUCCUUGUACUGAGUUUAGGAUGAACCAAGUAUUAGGGAUUUAGUGGAAUUAAAUGAGUGAAUAGGUGAACGGACAAAAUAAAAGAAUGACUACAGAUACAAAUGGUCGCUAGAUUUAUCCAAAGGCCCCCCAGGAUAGCAGAGUUUCCCCAUCAGUUAACAUCACCCCCAUGAAACGUAGCUACUACGGUCAGAACUUCACAGAGGUUAAAUGCAUGGACACUGAGCGUGGCAGCGUCUGAGGGCUGCACGUCCAGCUCUUAGCAGGCCCACGUGCUCUCCAUCCUACAGCUGUGCGAGGGAGGCAGCCAUCUUUCCAGCUGAGGAGACUGACCUUGGAAACUUCCCAAAGCCUGAGCCAGCACUGGCACCCACAUCUUGGUACUUCGAACCCUUUGUUUAGUCCCUGCUGGGAUAUUUUCAGGCAGCAGAACCGGUCAGUUCCAGCCACACAAAGGGUUCAUGCUAAGUCUUAAAGGACUGAAGUAAGGUCCUGUGAGAUCCAGGCGGCAGAGUCAGUGGGGCUGACAUGGACCAAGGACCAGAAGUGGCAGCAGACAGGCCAGGCUUGGGGCUGGGAUCAAAGGGACACCGUGAGAUGCGGGCAGCGGCCAGAGCUCUGGGGUGAGGCUCUGAUGUGGCAGGGGUGAACACUCAGGGUCUUUUCCAGGUUUCCCUGGAGGUCGGGAGACAGGCUAAGGCUCUACGUGGCCCAGCCAUCAGUGACUAACAUGACAGUGGGACAAAUAGAAAUGCUGAGAAUAUUUCCUGUGCUCUUCCGCUCUCCAUUCUCAGGCUAAGGAAAUUCACUUACACACACACACACACACACACACACACACACACACACACACACGGCAGUGGCUUAAGCUACUGGGCCCCUGUGCUUGCUCAUUUCCACCUUGGGGCUCCAUUCCCAUGUCCCCCACCAUCUGUAGAGCAUCUGUCCAUCCCUCCAAACUCUGCCCAGAUCGAAGUCCUCUGGGGUGUCUUUCCUGACUACAAGCACGAGGAGUUAGGGCCCUACCUGUGCACACCUGUCCCUGGUGUGCGCUCCUGCUGAGGCAUCAGGGCCAGGCUAGUUUGCCCAACUGCCUUUCCCGGCAGACUGAGCCCCUGAGCGGCCUAGACUAUUUUCCUCCUGGUCAGAGCCUGACAUGUAGUAAGCAGGAAGUCUGGUGAAUGAGCACCUGCAUGAAUAAAUGAAUGCGUAUAUGAAGGGAUGAACAGCAGGUGAGGGAGUGGAGAUGUUAACCUUUUUCCUUUUCCUGCCGCUGUGAUGUCCUGCGAGAGCAAGCUAUACUUGUCACGUCUGGCUCACUCUGUACUGUAUCUUUUGAAUUAAACUUUGUUUUUGUAAAAUUAA